CAGCACACUGGCAGUUUUUGAUACUACACAAAAUAUUUGCAAUAUCCAAUUUUCGAUUUGUUGCAUUACAAAAUUUUAAAAACUGUACAUUUUGAUUAGCUAACUAAAAACCAUCUGUUAAUCCAAAUGAAUUAAGGAAAAAUAGAUCUGUGAUUGAUCAUUGAUCAAUUCAUCCAUAUAACUUGUUUUAGGCCAAACUGGAUCAGUGUAUGACAUUUAAAUUAGUUAUUUAUACACUUCAGCUCUAUGUGCAUAGUCGAAUAUGAUAAUAUGAACUUGGUUGAUGAUGCCAUUCUUUAAAAUAGUAUACGUUUCAUACAAAUAACAUACAUUUUCGAAUGACAUUUAUUAAUUGGUGUGGAAUCAGGAAGCUCCAAAUUAAAUUAAUUUGAACAAAUAACAUGAACUAUUUCUUUUCAUCCCAAAUUCGAAUGCAUACAACUUUAUUACCGACUCUACGGAUUUUUAUGCCGUUUUACUAAUGAUUUUCAUUUAAACUCAUGAGCAUUUUAAAAUAAAAUUAUAAUA